UGACAGCGCACUUCACUGCUAAACACUUGCACUAUCUACUGAAAGAAAAUGACCAAGUUCAAUACACCAACCAUUGGAGACGGAAAUUGAGCGAGUAUUGCAACCACUAGAAGAAACUAACGAAGUAGUAAUAUAAAUGUUCUCAGGAAAUGACAAAGUGCAACGAAUCAGUCAUUGACCAUUAUACAGUACUGUCAGACAAAAAAGUAGAUGACACACUGGACAGGUAAAUCAUGGCGUAAGAGACUGAUGUGAGCACGUAUGUCAGCAUUCUAUCAUCGCUUGACCAAGAUUUUACACCAUCGGUCGUCAAGUAAUCAGACAUGUGGCAACAACAUAACCCAACAAACAAAACUUGAUGGCCAAAAGCUACCGGUAUACAAGCCAGACCAACAAACACUAGUUGCCUCAUAUCAAUUAUAUAAAACAGGUAUAACAUCAGCUACAGUGAAGGUUAGAUAAAUACCUAGCCGUAGAUGGCGACAUACCCUUAAGUGGGGGAUUGAAUCAUAAAGUGGAGAGCUGUGAUAUUCACUGGUCUAACAUGGGAGCUGUGAUAUUCACUGGUCUAACAUGGGAGCUGUGAUAUUCACUGGUCUAACAUGAGAGCUGUGAUAUUCACUGGUCUAACAUGAGAGCUGUGAUAUUCACUGGUCUAACAUGGGAGCUGUGAUAUUCACUGGUCUAACAUGAGAGCUGUGAUAUUCACUGGUCUAACAUGGGAGCUGUGAUAUUCACUGGUCUAACAUGGGAGCUGUGAUAUUCACUGAACCACCAUGGGAGCUGUGAUAUUCAA